rnacentral:rRNA from 1 species
GUCUAUGGCCAUACCACCGAGAACACAUCAGAUCUCGUCUGAUCUUGGAAGCUAAGCAGGGUCAGGCCUGGUUAAUACUUGGAUGGGAGAAUCUACUACAUGUGUAAGUAAGUUAUUAUAGAGC